rnacentral:rRNA from 1 species
UGUCGGCUCAUCGCAUCCUGGGGCUGAAGCAGAUCCCAAGGGUCCGGCUGUUCGCUGGUUAAAUCGGUCUCUAUCCGUCGUGGGCGUCCGGAGAUUUGAGGGGGGCUCUCUCUAGUACGAGAGGAUCGAGAGGGACAGACCUAUGGUGUGCCAGUUGUCUCGCCAGAGGCAUCGCUGGGUAG